rnacentral:rRNA from 1 species
AGCUUAAAGAAAUAUAUUUUAAGUUAAACCUGCCCUGUGAAUUUUUUUUUAACGGCUGCGGUACCUUGACCGUACUAAGGUAGCAUAAUCAAUUGGCUUUUAAAUGGAGUCUGGAAUGAACGGGAAAUUGGAGUUUGACUUUCUUAAAUAAAUUUUAUUGAAUUUACUAUAAAAGUGAAAAAGCUUUUUUAUGAAAAAAGACGAGAAGACCCUCGGAGUUUAAUAAAUUUUGUUGGGGCGACAUUAAAAAUAAAACUUUUAUAAUUUUAAUUAACAACUUUUAGUUUUAAUUUAUAAACUACCCAAGGGAUAACAGCAUAAUUCUUAUGAGAUUGUGACCUCGAUGUUGGACUAGGAAAGAAUAAUAACUAGUAGUUAUUAUUUUAAUGUUCUGUUCGAACUUUAUUCUCCU